UUAGGUAUGAUUAUAUCAGUGACAAUGAGUUUCAUAAUUGGUAUAUAUCGAUAGAUACCGUGAAUCUGAGUAAGAAUGUGUCAUAAUGAUAUGCAGAAGGUUUCUUGAGAUUGAAUUUUUUUUGUUGUGCCAUCCCAGAAGCAACACUAUGAUCAAAGAAGUAAAGUCCUGCUACUAUCAACGCAGGAAUAAAAGCAGAAAAAAACCUAUGCUGGAGAAACCUUCCCCAUGUCAUGUGUCAUGUGUUACAAUCUAUUAUUAGUUGAUUUAGUCAUUUUUGAAAGAAAAACCAAACUAGGCUUUAUUUCAACGUGAAUUACUUUGAUAACUGUCCAAUGGUGUAAAGAUGUAGGGGACAUUUUUAACCCAAUCAAAAAGGCUCAUGUAACAAUAAAAGGCUCACCAGAAAUGUGCAAACUUUUUUACUGUCAAAUUAUAGACCAAAAACCAAAAUUUAUAUCAUACACUUUUGUGGGAAAAAAGUAGUAUUUACGGUAAUAACCUCCAAGUGAAAAUCAUAAAAGAGUAAAUCAGGAAGAGGUGCAAUAAAAAUUGAAACAAAAUAAACCUGGGGACUGAUUCUACACAAUGUUAUUGUUUCAAAACACAACUCUGCAGAAGAAGAAAAAAAGAGUCAUUUCAGUUGAUAUGUAUGGCGAUGAAUACCAGAAGCGAAUACAACACAUGAAGACCGAACAACUGAAAAUAAAACAAACUACGUGUGUUCACAAAAUUACAUUUCCUGCAACACCAGAGAAAAUAAUAAAUUAAGAAAAAUGAUUUCAACAGCGAGAAAGAAUUGUUGUAAACCAGACAAUUUUUAAAGAAAUCAUCAAAUCAAAACUCAGAGGCUCGACUAUAUUGAAAGAUAGUUAUUAUUUAACAAUAGUUGAAAACUAGAAGGAGUUUAAAAGAAAUCACCAAAACAAACUCAGAAGCUCCACUCUAUAAUGAAAGAUAGAGAUUAUUUUGGCAAACCACUGCAGAAAAACAAGUUCACAAUUCGAUUUGUAUGUAAUGUGAUCAAAGCCAGAAAAUAAAAAUGAUAUAGAAUGAGUCGUUGGAGGAAUUGAUUUAUAUCGGUGGCUCUUGUUCUUAUCCACAUUAUUAAGAAUUCCCAACGUGCUGCAACAAGGAUAAACACAUCUCAUUACUAUUUUACUUUAAAAAGUAUUGCUUGAUUAUCAAAUGAAUAACUGUCCAUAAAAAACUAUGCAUUAAAUCAAAGAUAAUUGGAAGAACAAUCAAUCAAAACCCGAACAACUCAUCAUCAGCGGUAAAUCAUUAAUAUAAAAUCAGAAAACUCCAAUAUCAUUACCAUCAAGAGAAUUAAUGAAAUCAAAAUAAUCCACAAUCCAAGAGUGUAUCAAAAUAAAACCCAAUUGCUUUAUAUGACACAACAAUAUUUUUAAAAAUAUUGCAUAAUCCAAGAAGAGUGUUAAAAUAAACUUGAUUGCUUGAUACUACAAGUGAUUUUGCAACUCACAAAUUCAACAAAAUAUGAUAAACAUGUAAAUGUAUCAAAACUGCAAAACAUAACCAAUAUUUCCAAAUUAAAGUUCGAAAACCAAAAUGCAAGAGAAAAUAAUUUAUAUAUAUGGUAAGGAAACUCUAAGGCUUUAGUUAUAAGUUAUAACCACCCCCUCACUGUACUCAAUAGAUCUCUCAUGUGUAACACCCAAGUGAAAAUCAUGACGGAAUAAAUAAACUAGGCAAUAAAACUAUGCCGAGGAUUAAUGAAUUCAAAAUUAAUAAUAGUCAUAGUAGAGAUCACCAGAUGAAAGUACAGCAACAACCAAUUGCUGGCUCUUGUGCUCAAUUAGGCUCCCCUUAUGCCAACCAAGUUCUUGCACCAGUUGCAGAUUCGCUGAGGGAUACCCAUAUGGGAGAGAAGAUUUUUAAUUUCGUCUUAUAUAUCACAUAUGACAAGAAUAAAAAUGAAAAAAGAAAAAAGAAAUUAUAACAAAGGAAAUGGAAAAUCAACAAAAUUAAAAUAUUCCUUAUCCUCGGGAUAGAGAUGUUCCCUAAAAUCCGGUAUGGUUUCUUAUAUGCCUCCAACUAAAACACGACACACCAUUAGAGGACAAAUAUCCCAAAUACCAAAACAAAUAGACCAUAUGUUACAAAAAAAAUUGAAUGUUCUUUCCCAAAGCUAUAGACAGAAAGAAUGUGAACCUUGACUGCAGAUAUAAUCAGGUUCCAUUCGUUAUCUCCUGUGUAACAUCCAAACACAAGAGACUAAGGACCUGACAAAAGUAGA